UUUGAGGCCUAUCCCGACAGGCUCUUGACUGUAGGGUGUUGUCGUUGGAAAUGCCUCGUAAAAAAACCCUGCAGUUUCGCUUUACCCUCAGGACUAGUACCAUUAGCCCUGUGGGAUAAUACUGCAGAACAAGU